GGCCAGCGACGGGCGGCCGUUGACCGCCCGCUGCAGGUGGGUGAGGGCCACGCCCGGGUCCUUCUCCUGCAGUUCCGUCAGCAGCCGGUCGC
rnacentral:tRNA from 1 species